rnacentral:snRNA from 1 species
CUGUCACCCCAUUGAUCACCAGGGUUGAUUCAGCUGAUAUGGCUGGCUAGGCAG